GGUUAAGCGACUAAGCGUACACGGUGGAUGCCCUGGCAGUCAGAGGCGAUGAAGGACGUGCUAAUCUGCGAUAAGCGUCGGUAAGGUGAUAUGAACCGUUAUAACCGGCGAUUUCCGAAUGGGGAAACCCAGUGUGAUUCGUCACACUAUCAUUAACUGAAUCCAUAGGUUAAUGAGGCGAACCGGGGGAACUGAAACAUCUAAGUACCCCGAGGAAAAGAAAUCAACCGAGAUUCCCCCAGUAGCGGCGAGCGAACGGGGAGCAGCCCAGAGCCUGAAUCAGUGUGAGUGUUAGUGGAAGCGUCUGGAAAGGCGUGCGAUACAGGGUGACAGCCCCGUACACAAAAAUGCACAUGCUGUGAGCUCGAUGAGUAGGGCGGGACACGUGGUAUCCUGUCUGAAUAUGGGGGGACCAUCCUCCAAGGCUAAAUACUCCUGACUGACCGAUAGUGAACCAGUACCGUGAGGGAAAGGCGAAAAGAACCCCGGCGAGGGGAGUGAAAAAGAACCUGAAACCGUGUACGUACAAGCAGUGGGAGCACAGAGCAAUCUGUGUGACUGCGUACCUUUUGUAUAAUGGGUCAGCGACUUAUAUUCUGUAGCAAGGUUAACCGAAUAGGGGAGCCGAAGGGAAACCGAGUCUUAACUGGGCGUUAAGUUGCAGGGUAUAGACCCGAAACCCGGUGAUCUAGCCAUGGGCAGGUUGAAGGUUGGGUAACACUAACUGGAGGACCGAACCGACUAAUGUUGAAAAAUUAGCGGAUGACUUGUGGCUGGGGGUGAAAGGCCAAUCAAACCGGGAGAUAGCUGGUUCUCCCCGAAAGCUAUUUAGGUAGCGCCUCGUGAAUUCAUCUCCGGGGGUAGAGCACUGUUUCGGCAAGGGGGUCAUCCCGACUUACCAACCCGAUGCAAACUGCGAAUACCGGAGAAUGUUAUCACGGGAGACACACGGCGGGUGCUAACGUCCGUCGUGAAGAGGGAAACAACCCAGACCGCCAGCUAAGGUCCCAAAGUCAUGGUUAAGUGGGAAACGAUGUGGGAAGGCCCAGACAGCCAGGAUGUUGGCUUAGAAGCAGCCAUCAUUUAAAGAAAGCGUAAUAGCUCACUGGUCGAGUCGGCCUGCGCGGAAGAUGUAACGGGGCUAAACCAUGCACCGA
rnacentral:rRNA from 1 species